rnacentral:rRNA from 1 species
AACGAACGCUGGCGGCAUGCCUAACACAUGCAAGUCGAACGAAGCCUUCGGGCUUAGUGGCGCACGGGUGCGUAACACGUGGGAAUCUGCCCUUCGGUUCGGAAUAACAGUUAGAAAUGACUGCUAAUACCGGAUGAUGACGUAAGUCCAAAGAUUUAUCGCCGAAGGAUGAGCCCGCGUUGGAUUAGGUAGUUGGUGGGGUAAUGGCCUACCAAGCCGACGAUCCAUAGCUGGUUUGAGAGGAUGAUCAGCCACACUGGGACUGAGACACGGCCCAGACUCCUACGGGAGGCAGCAGUGGGGAAUCUUAGACAAUGGGGGAAACCCUGAUCUAGCCAUGCCGCGUGAUCGAUGAAGGCCUUAGGGUUGUAAAGAUCUUUCAGAUGGGAAGAUAAUGACGGUACCAUCAGAAGAAGCCCCGGCUAACUCCGUG